rnacentral:rRNA from 1 species
AUUGCCCUAGUAACGGCGAGUGAAGCGGCAACAGCUCAAAUUUGAAAUCUGGCCUCGGCCCGAGUUGUAAUUUGCAGAGGAUGCUUCUGGCGCGGUGCCUUCCGAGUUCCCUGGAACGGGACGCCACAGAGGGUGAGAGCCCCGUAUGGUCGGACACCAAGCCUGUGUGAAGCUCCUUCGACGAGUCGAGUAGUUUGGGAAUGCUGCUCUAAAUGGGAGGUAAAUCUCUUCUAAAGCUAAAUACCGGCCAGAGACCGAUAGCGCACAAGUAGAGUGAUCGAAAGAUGAAAAGCACCUUGAAAAGGGGGUUAAAUAGUACGUGAAAUUGUUGAAAGGGAAGCACUUGUGACCAGACUUGGGCCGGGCGGCUCAUCAGGGGUUCUCCCCUGUGCACUCCGCCCGGCACAGGCCAGCAUCGGUUCUCGUGGGGGGAUAAGACCGUCAGGAACGUAGCACCCUCCGGGGUGUGUUAUAGCCUGGCGGACGAUACCCCCGUGGGGACCGAGGUUCGCGCUCCGCAAGGAUGCUGGCGUAAUGGUCACCAGUGACCCGUCUUGAAACACGGACCAAGGAGUCGUCCAUUAGAGCGAGCGUUUGGGUGUAAAACCCGCACGCGUAAUGAAAGUGAACGCAGGUGAGAGCUUCGGCGCAUCAUCGACCGAUCCUGAUGUUCUCGGAAGGAUUUGAGUAAGAGUUUUAACGGACGGACCCGAAAGACAGUGAACUAUGCUUGUAUAGGGUGAAGCCAGAGGAAACUCUGGUGGAGGCUCGCAGCGGUUCUGACGUGCAAAUCGAUCGUCAAAUAUGAGCAUGGGGGCGAAAGACUAAUCGAACUGUCUAGUAGCUGGUUACCGCCGAAGUUUCCCUCAGGAUAGCAGUGUUGAUCUUCAGUUUUAUGAGGUAAAGCGAAUGAUUAGGGACUCGGGGGCGCUAUAUAGCCUUCAUCCAUUCUCAAACUUUAAAUAUGUAAGAAGCCCU